rnacentral:rRNA from 1 species
GUCGAGAAUCUUUCACAACGGGGGCAACCCUGAUGGAGCGACGCCGCGUGGAGGAUAAGGUCUUCGGAUUGUAAACUCCUGUCAUGCGUGAACAAGGUUGCUUGGUUAAUACCUGGGCAAAUUGAUGGUAACGCAAGAGGAAGAGACGGCUAACUCUGUGCCAGCAGCCGCGGUAAUACAGAGGUCUCAAGCGUUGUUCGGAAUCACUGGGCGUAAAGGGUGCGUAGGUGGCGUGGUAAGUCAGAUGUGAAAGCCCGGGGCUCAACCUCGGAACUGCAUCCGAUACUGCCAUGCUAGAGUACUGGAGAGGUGACUAGAAUUCUCGGUGUAGCAGUGAAAUGCGUAGAUAUCGAGAGGAAUACCAAAGGCGUAGGCAGGUCACUGGACAGUUACUGACACUGAGGCACGAAGGCCAGGGGAGCGAACGGGAUUAGAAACCCCAGUAGUCC